UACGAAGGGGGCAAGCGUUGUUCGGAUUUACUGGGUGUAAAGGGUGCGUAGGCGGCCCGUUAAGUCAGCGGUGAAAUCCCACGGCUCAACCGUGGAACUGCCGUUGAUACUGGCGGGCUUGAGUUCGGUCGAGGCGGGCGGAACUGGCGGUGUAGCGGUGAAAUGCAUAGAUACCGCCAAGAACCCCGAUUGCGUAGGCAGCUCGCUGGGCCGAAACUGACGCUGAGGCACGAAAGCGUGGGGAGCAAACAGG
rnacentral:misc_RNA from 1 species